rnacentral:rRNA from 1 species
AAAUGAAUAGACGGGGACCCGCACAAGCGGUGGAGCAUGUGGUUUAAUUCGACGCAACGCGAAGAACCUUACCAGGGCUUGACAUCCCGUGCCAUACAUGGAAACAUGUAGUUUUUAGCUUCGGUUAAAACGCGGAGACAGGUGGUGCAUGGUUGUCGUCAGCUCGUGUCGUGAGAUGUUGGGUUAAGUCCCGCAACGAGCGCAACCCCUAUUUUUAGUUGCCAGCAAGUAAAGUUGGGCACUCUAAAGAAACUGCCGGUGAUAAACCGGAGGAAGGUGGGGAUGACGUCAAAUCAUCAUGCCCUUUAUGUCCUGGGCUACACACGUGCUACAAUGGCUGGUACAGAGGGCAGCGAAGGAGCGAUCUGGAGCUAAUCCCAAAAAGCCAGUCUCAGUUCGGAUUGCAGGCUGCAACCCGCCUGCAUGAAGUCGGAAUCGCUAGUAAUCGCGAGUCAGCAUAUCGCGGUGAAUACGUUCCCGGGUCUUGCACACACCGCCCGU